GGCAUCUCUGUUUUGGAGGCAUCUCUGUUUUGGAGGUAUCUCUGUUUUGGAGGUAUCUCUGUUUUGGAGGUAUCUCUGUUUUGGAGGCAUCUCUGUUUUGGAGGCAUCUCUGUUUUGGAGGUAUCUCUGUUUUGGAGGUAUCUCUGUUUUGGAGGUAUCUCUGUUUUGGAGGUAUCUGUUUGACUGUCCCAAUUCAUACUGUAAUUCAAGGUUUAGUUCAGCAACAAUUUGGAGAAGAAAGAAAGAAAGAACGAAGGAUGGAAGUAGUGGUAUGGUGCCAGAUAAGACAGAGGGUAUGACCUGCCAACAUGAGGUGAAGAAAACACACUGGAAAACUGUACACAUUGUGUCCCAGAGAAGACACGAAGGCUUCAGCAAUGUUGUUCUGGGUCAGGAUAAGGUGAGAGGGCUUGUGUAUGAGUGGGUAGUGUGUGAUUCUGAGCACUACAGCACUCCUAUUGUGUAGAAGUGAAUGGAGAAUCCCUGAACUCUGGGGUCUUCUUGAGCAAUGGUUCAUGUGCUUAGUGUUGUUACUGCAGCAAGAUGUCAACAUGACUCCAUGUCUUGUCUCAAUUCAGAGGAAAGCAGCUCUUCAAGCGAAGAUUAAGUCACAAAUCAAUGGUUUCUUUUUCCUCUUCUGAAAAUCAACAACCUUCUCUAUAUAUCUGCUGGAAGAUCUGAGAGCAACAGAUGCAGCCUUCUUUCUUUGAACUGAACGGUGAUGGUAAUGGAGUGCACACUUGUCUAUUCCUGUUAGUUUGUGGUACAAUAUUUAUUGUUAUAGAAAUUAUUUACAUUUGUGAAUACGCAAAUUGUAAUGUAUUGUCAUUUUAUGUGUAUUUAUUUGAUUUGGUCUAUUUAUUUAAAAAAACAAUUAAAUGUAUAUUUAGUAAAUCAAAAAAUGCAACCCUGCUGGUCGAUCAUGGCCAUAAAGAUUUAAAAUAGGAAGUCUUCUACAUCAAUAUUUAAAAAGCUAUUUAGACAACUGUCCACACUUGAUUAUUUUAUAUAUCUUAUUUUAUUUUAAAUAAUUUGUAAACAUUUUUAAUUGCAAAUAUUUUAUAAAUGACAAUGUUUUGAUAAUUUUAUAAAGGUUUUCUCCUUCAUUUAUGCUAUUUCUUUUAUCUGUGUCUUCAGAUACCCACGGCUUAAAAAGAAAGUAUGUAUUUAUUAUUUAUUUCAUAUUAAAUAUUGAUAUGAUUGUAUAUUUAUUUUGUUAUUUAUGUGUGUGUUGUGAUGGCUGAGUAUCAGUAGUGUUAAAAUCCAUUUCUAAUAUUUAAAUACAAUUUUAAAAACCAUGCUCAGAAAGAAUAAAUAGAAUAUUGUUUGAUUACUUAGGCUUUCCUAGAUAUAUCAGCAGUUGUAAAAGCAAAAUAACUAACGAAAGCAAUCACUGUUCUGGUGGUGUCAGAGUGGCUUUGUGUCAUCGAUGAUUUAUUUGCUUUUUGUCAGGAAAAAUAAGACUAAGAAAAUAGACAGAUAUAAGGAUCAAAUGUUACCUCUCCAAGCGCUUUGUAGCGGCCAACACUGGCUUACCCAAAACAUCUUUAAUGUACUAUAGAUGUUUUAAUGCCUUUUGAUAAAUUAUUUUUCUCUUGUCAUUAUUUUCUCUCAAUGUGUUGAGCAGAAGCUCCAAAGAGCUCUGUUCCGGAAUGUUCCGUCUAGACUGGAUGUCUGGGUCUAAGACAUGUAAAGGACAUCUUCAAGAAAAAACUAAACCAUCAAGGAGGAUGACCUCUUUGACAAUUUAUAUCACAUCCACUUCUACGCCCUUGUAGCCUUAUUCUAGAUGACAUUUGUUGAUGCACAAAGUGCCACUACCACUCAGUUUCUUUCCUGAUUCUUUGCAUUCUGCAAUGUACGAUGUCUGGUCACAUGACAUGACCAGGGCGUCACAUGACAUGACCGAGAGUUGGGAUUGUUUCAGAUGCCUUUAUUUCUUUGCCAAGAUGGCCAUAAGUACACUAUAUAUACAUUCUGUAUAAAUAGAAUUUCAAAUGCUAUAUAUAUAUAUAUAUAUAUAUAUAUAUAUAUGAAUAGAAACAUACAUAUAUUUUUCCAGUGUAAUUGUUGACUAUUUUUCUCUUGUAUUAGCUUAUCAAAGGAACAGUAGUUGUUUGAGAGUUGUGACGACUAGAGGUGGUUAUGACUGUGGUUUUAAAGAUACUCAACAAAACCGUCAUUGUUUUUUAGGUUUCCUUUUCUUCUCUAUCCUUGAUCCAAACAUGAUGACGAUAAUAAUAAUAACAAUACAUGGGACUUAUAUAGUGCUUUUUCAAGGACCCAAAGUCGACAUGUUGUAAAUGCUAACGUCUGUUGUAAUGAAUCUGAAAUGACUGUCGUUUUAACUAAAUGGUUGGCUCUUUGUUCAAGUGUCGUGUGAGUGAGUUCAUGUAUAGAGGACUCUUCAUAGUAGUCACAUUGGCUAUAUUGUGCAGUACUGUGUCGUUAUGAUAAGGUUAUGAUCAUGUCAGCCCACUGAGCGGAGUUUUUAAACACGGAUCACAAUGUUAAAAAGCCAAUAGGGAAAGUGUAGUAGAUAGAUAAUAUGAUGAGGUAACCUAGUGGGAGACCCUGUGAUAAUAUGAUGAGGUAACCUAGUGGGAGACCCUGUGAUAAUAUGAUGAGGUAACCUAGUGGGAGACCCUGUGAUAAUAUAAUGAGGUAGCCUAGUGGGAGACCCUGUGAUAAUAUGAUGAGGUAACCUAGUGGGCGACCCUGUGAUAAUAUGAUGAGGUAACCUAGUGGGAGACCCUGUGAUAAUAUGAUGAGGUAACCUAGUGGGAGACCCUGUGAUAAUAUGAUGAGGUAACCUAGUGGGAGACCCUGUGAUAAUAUAAUGAGGUAGCCUAGUGGGAGACCCUGUGAUAAUAUGAUGAGGUAACCUAGUGGGCGACCCUGUGAUAAUAUGAUGAGGUAACCUAGUGGGAGACCCUGUGAUAAUAUGAUGAG
ensembl:lncRNA